CAGUAGCCGCGGUAAUACGAAGGGUGCAAGCGUUACUCGGAAUUACUGGGCGUAAAGCGUGCGUAGGUGGUGGUUUAAGUCCGUUGUGAAAGCCCUGGGCUCAACCUGGGAAUUGCAGUGGAUACUGGGUCACUAGAGUGUGGUAGAGGAUAGUGGAAUUUCCGGUGUAGCAGUGAAAUGCGUAGAGAUCGGAAGGAACAUCUGUGGCGAAGGCGGCCAUCUGGGACAACACUGACGCUGAGGCACGAAAGCGUGGGGAGCAAACAGGAUUAGAUACCCCCGUAGUCCCUGUCUCUUAUAC
rnacentral:rRNA from 1 species